AAAAAACACCAAUUUUUUAUUCAUAUCAAAUGUCAUAUUCAUUACAAAUCAUAAGAUUGUCCAAAACAUACAAAAUUUACAAAAAUGGCACUUUAACCAAAGUCAACUCACCCAUUUUACAUCCCAAAACCCUAAUCCCUAUUUCACUCUUGAUCCUUGAUUAGUUCCAUGUGCCAAUGUUACUUCAUGUGCAAGAUAUAUGAACAUCCAUGUUGCAAGCCAUUAUCCAACAAUCUAUUCCAUGUGUGCAUGACCUACAAAAGACCAACCAAAGACAUUGUAGCCUAUCAUGCAUUCAAACAAGGUAUUAAACAUCAUUCAUAUGUUAACUAUGUCAUGCAAAAGCAAUGUAUCAACCAUAUGUAAAGAGCCAUACAAAGCCAAUGAAACAUGGUCCAACCAUAGGCAUUUCAAGCCAUCAAAGUAAACCAAGUUCAGGCCAAAUGCCAACCCAAUGCAGUCAGAACUUGCAACCUGCAAUAAUGCAUUAGAAACUCAGGCCCCAAAGCAGACCAUCAUGCAAACUAAAACUCACAAGAACAUGCCAUGGUCUAAAAUCAUGCAUGGCAUCACAAAUGUAACACAAUUCUGCAGGAUUUUACCAAUCCUAUAGCACACCCAAAAAACAUGAGCAAAGACCAAGCAACAUACAAUUUGCUACACCAUGAACCAAACCUGAACCAGUCUGUAAUCAAGCCUUGCAGCAAGCAUCAACAUGCAGAACAAUAUCCCUAAACCAGUCUACAGAAUGCACACCUUGCAAUGCAUUAUUAGUAACAACAUAAACCUGAUAAACAUAAUAAGCUACACCAACAUAUGCAGACACACAUCCAAACAAGCUAAGCAAGAUAUGCACACCAGUCCAAUUCAGUAGCAGUUGAACAAGAAAAAACCAAAUCAGUAGUCAUGUUCAGAUCAAAUGCAUCCAACAAAACCUUGCCAAAAUCAUACCAAAUCAUCAUACAAAACCAUGCCAAAAUCAUACCAAAUCAUCAUACAAAACCAUGCCAAAAUCAUACCAAAAUCAUACAUGAUGAUUAUCAAAAUCAUACAUGAUGAUUAUCAAAAUCAUUAUCAAAACCAUACCAAAUUAUCAAUCAAAAUCAUCAUUUCUCAACACCAUAACAUGUGCAAAGUUUUGGUUUUGGUAUGACAUCUUAAUCCAUCCAGAUCUUAAUGGCCAAAGGAAGGUUUAAGUGGACCAAAAAGUGCAGCAAAUGCAAGGCAAAAAGGGACCACAUGAAUACGGUACAGAGUGUAGUGGAAAUACCUUGCAAAUGUAGUGUUUAUCCACCAAGUUGUCAUGAGUUAGUGGGCCCUCAACCAAUCUCACAUUUGCCAGCUCCUCCCACGAAACCAGCAAAGAAUUCACACUUCCAAAUGACCGUUGCAACCUUACAGAUGCUAGCUCAUAAGUUCCUGCACAAAAUUCUGAUUUUUCAUUCUUUUUUCACAGAAUUUUGGAAUAAUAUUUCAGGUACCAUUUUCCCUCAACUCAACCUACAUAAUGACCUCUUAGUUCACCCUAAAUCCAAGCUUGAAAAGCCACAAAAGUUAUGUCAAAAUUUCAUCUCAACCUCACCAAAACAGUGAUUCAGAUUCGCUCAUACACAUCAUUCCCAAUCAUUUUACCUAUCCCGAAUCAACCCCUCCCCCCCCCCCCCAAAGAUAUUAAGACCGAAAAGAGAAAGAGACAUUCACAUGUGCAAGAUUACAGGUCCGCCAUUGUUACACCUUCAAAUUCAACUCAAUGCAGGUAAGUUUGAACCUUGUUUUUUAGCUGAACUGGACAUCAUUGUUGUGCGUUGGGACCCAACGAGCAUUUACCCCAUGUUUGGUUGCAUUUUCCAUUCACCGUAUCCCUCCCUUUUGGAUUUGAAACUUUAGGGUUCUUCUUUAGGAAACCCAAUUUCUCUGUGCUCCCAUAAAACCAAUUGAUUAUGACUUCACUCUCAGCAUCCAUGAUCAGAGCUGAGUACAAUGGAUAUCCAUUUGUACUGUGAAGCUCAGAGAUGUGUUUGGUCGCAUUUCUAUUUGGGAUGAUGAAGAAGACAGUGGAUGAUGUUUUUGUGCUGCAAUAUUUUCCCUCUCAGCAUUUUAAAU
rnacentral:lncRNA from 1 species